UGGGCUGAAGCUUCAUAAUGAUCUGACACACUUGUGAGUGGAAAUGCAUCAAAGAGGAUCAAAAGGUGCGAGGGUAACCAGGAAUGCCGGGACUAAAGCGCCAUAUGGUUUCCAGAACAGACACUCAGUGAAGCUUCUGCCACUUACUUUGACCAGGUGAGGCCGAACACAAG